UACGUAGGGUGCAAGCGUUGUCCGGAUUUAUUGGGCGUAAAGAGCUCGUAGGCGGUCUGUCGCGUCGGAUGUGAAAACCCAGGGCUCAACCCUGGGCCUGCAUUCGAUACGGGCAGACUAGAGUACGGCAGGGGAGACUGGAAUUCCUGGUGUAGCGGUGAAAUGCGCAGAUAUCAGGAGGAACACCGGUGGCGAAGGCGGGUCUCUGGGCCGUAACUGACGCUGAGGAGCGAAAGCGUGGGGAGCGAACAGG
rnacentral:rRNA from 1 species